rnacentral:rRNA from 12 species
CCCCGGUAAACGGCGGCCGUAACUAUAACGGUCCUAAGGUAGCGAAAUUCCUUGUCGGGUAAGUUCCGACCUGCACGAAUGGCGUAACGAUGGGGGCGCUGUCUCUACCCGAGACUCAGUGAAAUUGAAAUCGCCGUGAAGAUGCGGUGUAUCCGCGGCUAGACGGAAAGACCCCGUGAACCUUUACUAUAGCUUCACAGUGAACUUUGAGCAUGUUUGUGUAGGAUAGCUGGGAGGCUUUGAAGUGGGAACGCCAGUUCUCAUGGAGCCAACCUUGAAAUACCAGCCUGGCCUGUUUGAGGUUCUAACUCUGGCCCCUGAUCGGGGUUGAGGACACUGUGUGGUGGGUAGUUUGACUGGGGCGGUCUCCUCCCAAAGAGUAACGGAGGAGCACAAAGGUGGGCUAAGCAUGGUCGGACAUCAUGCGGUUAGUGUAAUGGCACAAGCCCGCUUGACUGCGAGACAGACACGUCGAGCAGGUACGAAAGUAGGUCAUAGUGAUCCGGUGGUUCUGUAUGGAAGGGCCAUCGCUCAACGGAUAAAAGGUACUCCGGGGAUAACAGGCUGAUACCGCCCAAGAGUUCACAUCGACGGCGGUGUUUGGCACCUCGAUGUCGGCUCAUCACAUCCUGGGGCUGAAGCCGGUCCCAAGGGUAUGGCUGUUCGCCAUUUAAAGUGGUACGCGAGCUGGGUUUAGAACGUCGUGAGACAGUUCGGUCCCUAUCUGGUGUGGGCGUUGGAUGAUUGAUGGGAGCUGCUCCUAGUACGAGAGGACCGGAGUGGACGAACCGCUGGUGUUCGGGUUGUCAUGCCAAUGGCAUUGCCCGGUAGCUAUGUUCGGACAGGAUAACCGCUGAAAGCAUCUAAGCGGGAAGCCCCUUCCAAGAUGAGAUCUCCCCGGGCCCUCGAGGCCCCUGAAGAGCCGUUCAAGACCAGGACGUUGAUAGGUCGGG